CCUACGGGUGGCAGCAGUAGGGAAUAUUGCUCAAUGGGGGAAACCCUGAAGCAGCAACGCCGCGUGGAGGAAGAAGGUUUUCGGAUUGUAAACUUCUUUUGUUAGAGAAGAUAAUGACGGUAUCUAACGAAUAAGCACCGGCUAACUCCGUGCCAGCAGCCGCGGUAAUACGGAGGGUGCAAGCGUUACUCGGAUUCACUGGGCGUAAAGAGCGCGUAGGCGGGAUAGCAAGUCAGAUGUGAAAUCCUAUGGCUCAACCAUAGAACUGCAUUGGAAACUGUUAUUCUAGAGUAUGGGAGAGGUAAGUGGAAUUCUGGGUGUAGGGGUAAAAUGCGUAGAGAUCAGGAGGAAUACUCAUUGCGAAGGCGACCUGCUAGACCAUAACUGACGCUGAUGCGCGAAAGCGUGGGGAGCAAACAGGAUUAGAUACCCCAGUAGUC
rnacentral:rRNA from 1 species